rnacentral:rRNA from 1 species
UAGGGAAUCUUCCACAAUGGGCGCAAGCCUGAUGGAGCAACACCGCGUGAGUGAAGAAGGGUUUCGGCUCGUAAAGCUCUGUUGUUAAAGAAGAACACGUAUGAGAGUAACUGUUCAUACGUUGACGGUAUUUAACCAGAAAGUCACGGCUAACUACGUGCCAGCAGCCGCGGUAAUACGUAGGUGGCAAGCGUUAUCCGGAUUUAUUGGGCGUAAAGAGAGUGCAGGCGGUUUUCUAAGUCUGAUGUGAAAGCCUUCGGCUUAACCGGAGAAGUGCAUCGGAAACUGGAUGACUUGAGUGCAGAAGAGGGUAGUGGAACUCCAUGUGUAGCGGUGGAAUGCGUAGAUAUAUGGAAGAACACCAGUGGCGAAGGCGGCUACCUGGUCUGCAACUGACGCUGAGACUCGAAAGCAUGGGUAGCGAACAGGAUUAGAUACCCUGGUAGUCCAUGCCGUAAACGAUGAGUGCUAGGUGUUGGAGGGUUUCCGCCCUUCAGUGCCGGAGCUAACGCAUUAAGCACUCCGCCUGGGGAGUACGACCGCAAGGUU